UAGAAAUGGACUUAUCUAUUUACGUACGUAAAGUGAGCAUAAAUGAGCCUUAAAGCUCUACAUCAGUUCCCAGUUACGUUUCGGCACACAGCUGGGCUCUGCAUCUGAACCGUACUGUGAACCGUGACUCAAGAACCGCAAUACGUACCGAACCGUGGAUAACCUGUACUGCUGCAUCCCUAUGAUUUACUUUGU